rnacentral:pre_miRNA from 1 species
UAAAGCAUCUGAGGCAUUUUAUAAAAUUCCUAGGUAUUCUAUAGAAUACCUAGGAAUUUUAUAAAAUGCCUCAGAUGCUUUAGGCA